CCGUUUUCCCUUUCUAUUCUCCGCCGCCUCCUACCUCUGCCCCGACUCGCACGCCCACCCGCAUCCUGAGGGCGCAGCCACCGCCUCCCCUCCGCGGCCCUCCUCUGCCGCGCCUCAGCCAGCCUCGCCCGCGAGCCUCCACCUGCGACCACGCACGCGAUCCGCCGCCGUCCGCCUUCGCACCCUCGCGACUUCGCGAGCCCCCGCCGUCUCCACACUGACACCACGCCUUUCCCCACACACGACCCGCCACCGUCGGCCUUCGCGGCCUCACGAGCCCCUGCCGUUUCCGCGCCGCGACUGAGACCCCGGCCAUGCAACCUCCGCACCCCGCCGUCUCCACGCCGCGACUCGGACCCACCCAUCGCCGUCAUGCCCUGUGACUGGGCAGCCAUCGGAGAACCGCUAAUCACGCCGGCGGCGCCUUCGAGGCAAAUGGUUCCCGCAGGAGAGGAACACGCGGCUAGGGAACAUGACAUGGAGGAUCUGGAACCUCGCCCGUUGUUGGUGUGGUGUGUGUGUGUGUGUCUUUUCAAUUGUCUAGAAAAGAGGACUAAAGGCUGGGUUGAUCUUCACAUAGGUGCAUUUUAUAAUUUAUAGAGCACCAGGCUCUGUUCAACGAAACUCCGUUGGUUAAACUUUUGGGCGAUUGACUUCUGUUCUCAAGUACUCAGAAAUAAGAAUUGUGCUGCACCCAAUGUUCUUUCCA